GGAUGCGGGCAGCACCGAGACGGAAGCGCGGCAGGACGGGAGCGGUGCUGAGGACAGCGGCGCCGGAGGUGUGCGGGAGAACGGCUCCAUGCCGGGGAGAGGAACCGAGCGCGGCCCGAAUCCCCCCGCCGUCCCCUCCGCUCCCCUCCCCUCCUCUUGGCCGUGGGAUGCGGGGAUUUGGGACGGCUGAAGGACUCGGGGCCCCCACCGCCGCAGCGCUGCUGCCCGCAUCCGGGCCGGGCCCCCCCGAGCCUCCAGCGCUGCUCCCGGUGCCCCCCGGGGCUGAGGCAGGAGCCGGGCAGCGGUACUGCAGCUCGUCUGGCAGCUUUGCAGCUCAGUUGGGAAGUAGAAGAUGUGGCUGUGAAAGAAGAAGUCAGUUGCUGGGACGUCCCCCUGUUCUUCCCCUAGCUGUCCCCUUGCCUCAGCCAGGAUUCCCCUUGCAUUCCUGUAGGAUUCCCUUCCAUCCUCCUGGUUGUCCCUUGCUUUCCCCAAGGUUGCUCUUUCCUUUCCCAUGACAGCCCACCCAUCAUUCUCUCAAAGCCCCAGUAUCCACCCCAGUGUUUCCCCAGCAAGACCCCUAGAGACACCCUGUAGCCUCCCACAGAUCCCCAUAGCCCCCUCAAGGAGCUCCUCAGAACCGGUACACCUCCCCUGUACCUGGCCCAUAUGCACAUGGAGCCCCACAGUCCCCAGCAUCACCCCAUGUCCCCCUCUGGGCUCCCACAGAACCCCCAUGUUUCCUCUAUUUCCUCCCUCAGACCUCCUUUCCCACCUCCAAGACCCCAACCCCGGGAUCUCAUCGAUUCCUACGGUCCCUGACAGCAGCACCCCUGUCACCAUCCCAGGAACCCCAUAGCACACCUGAGGCCUCUCCUCAGCCCCAUCCCCAUCAAGCUCUUGUACAGCCAUAGGGUGCUGGGGCAGGGGUGGCUGCUGCAGGAGAGGAAUGCGGAGCUGGGGCAGGUGUAGGGCACAGCUGUGGGUGAAAGGGAUGUGAGGGGCACUGUGGGUCCAGGAACAUAGGAGGAUUUGGGCAGGAUAUGGGGCUAUAGACCACAGCCUGCAGGAGCAGAGUGCUUUGCAGGAGAAGACAAGGUGUGAGGUACAGGUGGGACUUGUGGGUGCGGGGACGUGGGGUGGCAUGGGGACGUAGGGGGUAUGAGGGCACGUGGGGAGCUGUUUGCGGAUAGAAUGGAGGAUGUGGGGUGGUGUUGGAGUGCACUGGUUGAUUUCUUCCUCAGAGGGGAUUGGGGUUCCCUGUGGCCCAAAGGUGGAGCCCUGAUCCAUAACCCCACGUGAGCCCCGAACGCCAUAUAACUCGGCGUGAGCCCAAGGCUCCCCAUGACCCAUAACCCUGUGAGCACCGUAAGCCCAUAUGAGGCUGAGGGCAGUGAUGGGUCUGUUACUGGCUAGGUCAGGAGGGUGGCUCUGGGGCCGCUGUUGUAUAGCACUCUACAUCUGCCCCUGACCCUCAUCUAGCCCACAUCUUGGGGGGUAAGAUGAGGGUGCAGGGGUUAGUGGAGGGCUAAGGAAGAGAUUCCAUGAGUAUGAACCAUAGCAGCCUCAGAGCCAUCCUAGAGCAGCGCCAUCACUGCCCGCGGCCCGUGGCCAGCAGCAGUUCUCCUGGUUGCUGUGUUGUUACUUCACUCUCCUCAGUGAGUUCCUUCUGCUCCCAUAGUUCUCCUCCUGUGGCACUCACUGCUCUCCUGUUCCCCCUUGGCUAAGGACUGCAGGCUCACAGUCUCCGCCACGCAUCCGCUGUGCAGUUUUUCCAGAGCAGGUCUAUGGCCAAGCUGCUCCUUUUGGGCUGAUUGUGUGCUUUUCUAUGCAGACAGGCAGGCAGGAUUUCUUGCAGCUGUCGUACGUGCUGGGUCUCAUGCUCCGUCCUGCACCUGUGCCUUAUCUCGUGUGCACUCUCCACCUCCCCCUGGUCAGUACAUCCUGGCCCUGCUGUGCUCUGCUCAGCAUCUGUCUGCUGAGCAACGACACAGCUGUCACACUGACCCUACCUUGUGCUAUCCCUGCAGAUGUUUGAUGAUUUCCUCUGCCACUGUCCCAGCCAUAACAGGUCGGGUGAUUUCCAGCAGCACACAGCUGGCACACCGAGCCACUCUGACCACGUACGGCAGCAGCCCGCCCCAUGGCUUCCUUGGGGCAGCCGUGGGGCUGUACCACCCUGAGGAGGCGAUGACUUUUCCCCACACACAGCUGGUUCUCUGGCCACACGGGGUGAGGAUGUGGGGUUGGGGGUCACAUGGCUGUCCUGCAGAGUCAGAGUGUUAUGGGGUUUUGUGGGGUUCUGGGUUAGAUGGGGUUCUGGGUUGCUGUGAUGAGGUCAGAUGAGAUGGUAGGGUCAGAUGGGGUGACAUGGAGUUCUGUGGUCACAUGUGUUUCUAUGGUCGAGUUGAGGUGGGGGCAGGGAUCCCAGAGUUCUGGGGCCACAUGGCAUCGGGUCGCAGCGUGAUGGGGGCAGGUAGGGUCAGGGAGUCACAGGGUCAUGUGGGGGUGUGGUUCACCCAGGGUUGUGGGUCACAUACAGCCAUGGGGUCACACACAUGAUGAGGUCAUCUUGGCUUAUGGCUCGUGUGGGGUUACGGCUUAGGGUCCCACCUUUGGGCUGCACGGACCCCCAGUCCCCUCUCAGGAAGAAAUGAAACCCCUCCUACACCGCUGUCCCCUUCCCCCCUUUUUUUUUUACCUCAAACUGCUCCCCACCUCCUCCCAUAGCACCCCAUACCCCCGCGUCCCUCUUGCAGCGCACAUCUUGUCUUCUCCUGAACAGCAUUCUGCUCCUGCAGGCUGUGUUGUCAUAUCCAUUCUAUAUCCCCCACACCCCCUCCCACAGAGCUACAUAGCUCCUCAAGUACUUUCUCUGACCGGGUACACCUCCCCCACCGCCAACCUGGGACCUCGCAGAGCCCCACAGUCCCCAGCAGCACCCCACGUCCCCCACGGUUCUUCAAGGAUCCCUCCGAUUUGAGGGAGGCUCAGACCUCCCUUUAUGCCUCAGACCCCUCCUGUGUUCUCCGACUCCCACAGUCCCUGACAGGACUCCCAUCACCAUCCCAGGACCCCCGUAGCCCACUGAUGAGGAACCCCGCAGCAAUCCACAUCUCAGGAUGGGGCUCCAGCUGUGCCCCAAUGCCUGCAUUAAAGAGAGGAGAAUGAAUGAGUGUAACGGGGCACCUUUCCUCCUGACAUUACCAACUGCCUGCGUGUUGGCUGUGCCACAUGAGCGGCAUUUUGUCCUCGAGCUGUGAGUGCAGACAGAGGCCCUGAGAACAACCAGAGCCGUGUCUGCGUUCACCAAGGACUCACCUCUGCACGUGCAGCGGCAGCUCUGAGGGCAGCCUUCAUCGAUUCCCCUCUCCUCUCUUUCUCUUGGCGUCUUCUUGCUAGAAAGCAAGAAUAAACAUGAAUGCAUUUUGUCAGCA